rnacentral:ncRNA from 2 species
UCAAUUAACUAGGGGCGCAUAUUGCUGAGACGGUGACCGACCGAACCCUUUGAACCUGUGAGCUAACCCUCGCGUAGGAAAGUUAACGUUGUUAAAU